rnacentral:rRNA from 1 species
CCUACGGGUUGCAGCAGUAGGGAAUCUUCCGCAAUGGACGAAAGUCUGACGGAGCAACGCCGCGUGAGUGAUGAAGGUUUUCGGAUCGUAAAGCUCUGUUGCCAGGGAAGAACGUCCGGUAGAGUAACUGCUACCGGAGUGACGGUACCUGAGAAGAAAGCCCCGGCUAACUACGUGCCAGCAGCCGCGGUAAUACGUAGGGGGCAAGCGUUGUCCGGAAUUAUUGGGCGUAAAGCGCGCGCAGGCGGUCACUUAAGUCUGGUGUUUAAGGCCAAGGCUCAACCUUGGUUCGCACUGGAAACUGGGCGACUUGAGUGCAGAAGAGGAGAGUGGAAUUCCACGUGUAGCGGUGAAAUGCGUAGAUAUGUGGAGGAACACCAGUGGCGAAGGCGACUCUCUGGGCUGUAACUGACGCUGAGGCGCGAAAGCGUGGGGAGCAAACAGGAUUAGAUACCCUAGUAGUC